rnacentral:rRNA from 1 species
UCCUACGGGAGGCAGCAGCAAGGAAUUUUGGGCAAUGAGCGAAAGCUUGACCCAGCGACACCGCGUGAGGGAAUAAGGCCUUCGGGUUGUAAACCUCUUUUCCUGGGGAAGAAUUCUGACGGUACCCAGGGAAUAAGCCUCGGCCAACUACGUGCCAGCAGCCGCGGUAAUACGUAGGAGGCGAACGUUAUUCGGAUUUACUGGGCGUAAAGGGAGCGUAGGCGGUUCCUUAAGUCGGAUGUGAAAUCUUCUGACUCAAUCGGAAGGAGCCAUUUGAUACUGAGGGACUUGAGAGCAGCAGAGGGAAAUGGAAUCUCCAGUGUAGCGGUGAAAUGCGUAGAUAUUGGAGAGAACACCAGUGGCGAAAGCGAUUUCCCAGGCUGCUUCUGACGCUGAGGUUCGAAAGCGUGGGGAGCGAAGCGGAUUAGAUACCCGCGUAGUCCACGCCCUAAACGGUGGACACUAGAUAUAGGAGGUAUCGACCCUUUCUGUGUCGAAGCUAACGCUUUAAGUGUCCCGCCUGGGGAGUACGGCCGCAAGGCUGAAACUCAAAUGAAUUGACGG